CAGCAGCCACGGGAAUACGUAGGUGGCAAGCGUUGUCCGGAAUUAUUGGGCAUAAAGCGCGCGCAGGCGGAUCAGUUAGUCUGUCUUAAAAGUUCGGGGCUUAACCCCGUGAUGGGAUGGAAACUGCUGAUCUAGAGUAUCGGAGAGGAAAGUGGAAUUCCUAGUGUAGCGGUGAAAUGCGUAGAUAUUAGGAAGAACACCAGUGGCGAAGGCGACUUUCUGGACGAAAACUGACGCUGAGGCGCGAAAGCCAGGGGAGCGAACGGGAUUAGAUACCCGAGUAGUCCCUGUCUCUUAUACA
rnacentral:rRNA from 1 species